AGCUAUGCAAGACACCAACUCA
rnacentral:siRNA from 1 species